CGGAUGCGCGCGCAUUCUGACUGAUUAGACAAGAAGGACGAUCAGCCAUUGUUUACAAGCGUGGUGCAAAAUAAUAAGAUAUGUGGCUUAUUAAGACGUUUUUAUAUCAAAAUGACUCUCCGAAAGAAAUCCCGUUUGGGACGACCGAAAAAGAACAGCCAUCAGAAAAAAGAACCAAAGCAUAAAAUUGAAUGCCAAAGAGGAAAAGAUGUAGAAAUUAACAAAUGGAGUUAAAAAGAGAGUAAUCCUCGACAAUGAACAGCUGUUGGUACCAGUAUGGAGGAGACAUCUGUUCCAGUUUCAAUCCACACUGAAGAUGGAAAGAGAAUGAAAAAAUAUGAACGCUUAAAUUUGAUUGUCAUGCUGUUUCUUUUUCUAGCACCAGUGAAAGGCACAGAGCAACUGAUUGCACAAGAAAUUGAGAUAUUUGCAGUGAAUGAGACACACAAUAAAGAUGAAGAAUCUUGCCAUCUCCCUUUCACUGUAUGCAAUUUAUUACAAGUUAUCAUCGCUGAUACAUGUAUAUAUCCUUAGCUGUACAGAUACCAAAAUUUGCAUAACCCAGAUCAGUUGCAGGGAAAUUAUCAUAAAACUCUCAGUUAUCAUUGACAGUAACAUUAUGAAUAAAUGUUUGAUAAUAAAAAUAUUAUUUAUACCUGGAAUUGAUUUUGUUCUCUCUCAUUUUGGUUUAGUUAUUGAAAAAGGAUGGAAUAAUGUGUAGUGAUAUUUUAGAUAUAUUGUAUACAUUAAUACAUGUACAAGUUCUGAUUCUCAGUCUGACUGGUCCUUUUCAUUUUAGAAUACUGGGAUGUAUGUAGGUGUCUUUUUACAGAUGUAAUUUGGUUUAUUCAAACGCCACACCACAUUUAUUGGUUUAUAGGUUUUAUUGAUAUGAUUACUGUGGGGGAAAAACAACAAACAUGAUCAUAAAAUUGUACGGCUUGUGAUUAUGGUUAAAUCUAUUAUCAUGCCUUUAUUAUGUAUGUGCUUUCCCAAAGUAAGGAGCCUGUAAUUCACUGGUGUGUUGCUGUAUACAUCAUAUUUGGAUUUUUUUCUUAUUAUUUUGUUCAUAAAUAAGACAGUGAGUUUUCUUGUU